rnacentral:rRNA from 2 species
UUUAUAUGAGAGUUUGAUCCUGGCUCAGGAUGAACGCCGGCGGUGUGCCUAAUACAUGCAAGUCGAACGCGUUGGCCCAACUGAUUGRACGUGCUUGCACGGACUUGACGUUGGUUUACCAGCGAGUGGCGGACGGGUGAGUAACACGUAGGUAACCUGCCCCAAAGCGGGGGAUAACAUUUGGAAACAGAUGCUAAUACCGCAUAACAAUUUGAAUCGCAUGAUUCAAAUUUAAAAGAUGGCUUCGGCUAUCACUUUGGGAUGGACCUGCGGCGCAUUAGCUUGUUGGUAGGGUAACGGCCUACCAAGGCUGUGAUGCGUAGCCGAGUUGAGAGACUGAUCGGCCACAAUGGAACUGAGACACGGUCCAUACUCCUACGGGAGGCAGCAGUAGGGAAUCUUCCACAAUGGGCGCAAGCCUGAUGGAGCAACACCGCGUGAGUGAAGAAGGGUUUCGGCUCGUAAAGCUCUGUUGUUAGAGAAGAACGUGCGUGAGAGCAACUGUUCACGCAGUGACGGUAUCUAACCAGAAAGUCACGGCUAACUACGUGCCAGCAGCCGCGGUAAUACGUAGGUGGCAAGCGUUAUCCGGAUUUAUUGGGCGUAAAGCGAGCGCAGGCGGUUUGAUAAGUCUGAUGUGAAAGCCUUUGGCUUAACCAAAGAAGUGCAUCGGAAACUGUCAGACUUGAGUGCAGAAGAGGACAGUGGAACUCCAUGUGUAGCGGUGGAAUGCGUAGAUAUAUGGAAGAACACCAGUGGCGAAGGCGGCUGUCUGGUCUGCAACUGACGCUGAGGCUCGAAAGCAUGGGUAGCGAACAGGAUUAGAUACCCUGGUAGUCCAUGCCGUAAACGAUGAGUGCUAGGUGUUGGAGGGUUUCCGCCCUUCAGUGCCGCAGCUAACGCAUUAAGCACUCCGCCUGGGGAGUACGACCGCAAGGUUGAAACUCAAAGGAAUUGACGGGGGCCCGCACAAGCGGUGGAGCAUGUGGUUUAAUUCGAAGCUACGCGAAGAACCUUACCAGGUCUUGACAUCUUGCGCCAACCCUAGAGAUAGGGCGUUUCCUUCGGGAACGCAAUGACAGGUGGUGCAUGGUCGUCGUCAGCUCGUGUCGUGAGAUGUUGGGUUAAGUCCCGCAACGAGCGCAACCCUUGUUACUAGUUGCCAGCAUUCAGUUGGGCACUCUAGUGAGACUGCCGGUGACAAACCGGAGGAAGGUGGGGACGACGUCAGAUCAUCAUGCCCCUUAUGACCUGGGCUACACACGUGCUACAAUGGACGGUACAACGAGUYGCGAACUCGCGAGGGCAAGCUAAUCUCUUAAAACCGUUCUCAGUUCGGACUGCAGGCUGCAACUCGCCUGCACGAAGUCGGAAUCGCUAGUAAUCGCGGAUCAGCAUGCCGCGGUGAAUACGUUCCCGGGCCUUGUACACACCGCCCGUCACACCAUGAGAGUUUGCAACACCCAAAGUCGGUGGGGUAACCUUCGGGGAGCUAGCCGCCUAAGGUGGGGCAGAUGAUUAGGGUGAAGUCGUAACAAGGUAGCCGUAGGAGAACCUGCGGCUGGAUCACCUCCUUUCUAAGGAAUUAAUCGGAAACCUGCACAUUCGUUGAAACUGCGUUCAGUUUUGAGGGGUCUACCCUCAGCUUGUACUUUGAAAACU